UAGGGAAUCUUCGGCAAUGGGGGGAACCCUGACCGAGCAACGCCGCGUGAGUGAAGAAGGUUUUCGGAUCGUAAAGCUCUGUUGUUAAGGAAGAACGAGUGUGAGAAUGGAAAGUUCAUGCUGUGACGGUACUCAACCAGAAAGGGACGGCUAACUACGUGCCAGCAGCCGCGGUAAUACGUAGGUCCCGAGCGUUGUCCGGAUUUAUUGGGCGUAAAGCGAGCGCAGGCGGUUAGAUAAGUCUGAAGUUAAAGGCAGUGGCUCAACCAUUGUAGGCUUUGGAAACUGUUUAACUUGAGUGCAGAAGGGGAGAGUGGAAUUCCAUGUGUAGCGGUGAAAUGCGUAGAUAUAUGGGGGAACACCGGUGGCGAAAGCGGCUCUCUGGUCUGUAACUGACGCUGAGGCUCGAAAGCGUGGGGAGCGAACAGG
rnacentral:rRNA from 1 species